UGUCCCCCAUCAAAAUUUAUCCCUGGAAGCCUGAUGAACCAGUUAGGAGAAUCUGGAGUUUCUCUCUGUCAUCUUCAACCACCAGAAAGGUGAAAUGGAGAUUGAAAAGCUCAACCCACAAUAUCUAUCACAAUGACCAAAUGUAUUGAUCCACAAAUAUGAUAUUAUGUAGCUUCAGGAAAUUACACUUAAGUUGUUCUUCAUAAUUACCUCCAAAGUCCGCGCUGCCCAGGAACAUUAUAACAAGAUGCUUUUGAUCCUUUGAUAAUUAAAUGU
rnacentral:lncRNA from 1 species